rnacentral:rRNA from 1 species
UGCCAGCCGCCGCGGUAAGACGAAGGUGGCAAGCGUUGUUCGGUAUUACUGGGCUUAAAGCGUGUGUAGGCGGAUAAAUUAGCGUUUUGUGAAAUCCCUCGGCUUAACCGAGGAAUUGCUUGACGAACUGUUUAUCUUGAGGCAAGUAGGGGUGCACGGAACUCUUGGUGGAGCGGUGGAAUGCGUAGAUAUCAAGAGGAACGCCAGUGGUGAAGACGGUGCACUGGGCUUGUUCUGACGCUGAGACACGAAAGCGUGGGGAGCAAACAGGAUUAGAUA